rnacentral:tRNA from 1 species
GACACUGUGGCGCAAUUGGAUAGCGCGUUGGACUUCGAAUCCAACGGUUGCGGGUUCGAAUCCCGUCAGUGUUG